rnacentral:rRNA from 1 species
GAUGGGAGCUUGCUCCCUGAGAUUAGCGGCGGACGGGUGAGUAACACGUGGGCAACCUGCCUAUAAGACUGGGAUAACUUCGGGAAACCGGAGCUAAUACCGGAUACGUUCUUUUCUCGCAUGAGAGAAGAUGGAAAGACGGUUUUGCUGUCACUUAUAAAUGGGCCCCCGGCGCAUUAACUAGUUGGUGAGGUAAUGGGUCACCCAGGCGACGAUGCGUAACCCACCUGAGAGGGUGAUCGGCCACACUGGGACUGAGACACGGCCCAAACUCCUACGGGAGGCAGCAGUAGGGAAUCUUCCGCAAUGGACGAAAGUCUGACGGAACAACGCCCCGUGAACGAAAAAAGCCUUCGGGUCCUAAAGUUCUGUUGUUAGGGAAGAACAAGUACCAGAAUAACUGCUGGUACCUUGACGGUACCUAACCCGAAAGCCACGGCUAACUACGUGCCAGCAGCCGCGGUAAUACGUAAGUGGCAAGCGUUGUCCGGAAUUAUUGGGCGUAAAGCGCGCGCAAGUGGUUCCUUAAGUCUGAUGUGAAAGCCCACGGCUCAACCGUGGAGGGUCAUUGGAAACUGGGGAACUUGAGUGCAGAAGAGGAAAGUGGAAAUUCACGUGUAUCGGUGAAAUGCGUAUAGAUUUGGAAGAACACCCAGUGGCGAAAGCGACUUUCUGGUCUGUUACUGACACUGAGGCGCGAAAGCGUGGG